AAAAAAAAUUUCUAUCUCUCUCUUCGUUAAUUUUUCUUUCGUUCUUCUUCCUUCUUCUUCGUUCUUCUUCCUUCUUCUCUAUUUGCAUGUCACGAAACCGAUCGAUCACUGCUACGGAGCAGUGCUACCUCCUCCUCCAAAUCCGUCAAUGAAAUCACCGUUGAGAUUUGGUGCCGUCGACUUGACGCUAUCGACUUGGUUCCAUCGACUUGGUGCCAUCGACUUGGUUCCAUCGAAUUGGUUCCAUCGAUUUGGUUCCAAAACUGGGAGAGAGGAAGAACAUGGAACCAAAUCGAUGUAAUAAGAGAUAAAGCUAUGGUGGGUUUGAGAGAGAACACUCCCGUGGAAACGUUAACGCAAAGGUGUGAUAAUGUUCAUCACCCACUCUCUGGCAGAGACGGAUCAAACUUGGGCAAAGCAUCUUUCUUUCAUUUAAUUUGGCAAGAGGUUAGUAGAGUUUUCUUUUAAUGUGUGUUAGAUAGUGAUUAGGUUGGGCGUUAGACAGUCAUUAGGUUGGUAGGAUUGCUUUACAUUAAGUUGUGUUGGUUGAUUUGUUUGAAAAGAAAAGAACCGAAGAAUGUACGAGUUUUGGUUGAUUUGUUUCGGUUGUUAUAAUGUUGCAUUCAAUAUAUGAAACUAUGUAGAAAGUUUUGUGAAAUUAUUAAUAGGCAUAAGUCAGCAUCACAUUAAUUCACACAUCUCUCUGAUGAGACUAAAUGUAUAUGAGUUUUUACUGCAAUUGAGCGCAAUUGCAAUUCCCUGCUUUGCAACUCCCUGCUUUGAACAACAUCAGCCACAAAUUCUUCACCAUGAGAAUAUGUAUGCUCAGUAUCCUAGACCUAUUGUGUGUUAUGAUUCAACUUUAAAAA